AUGCUCAAAAUUCUCCAAGCCAGGCUUUGGCAGUAUGUGAACUGUGAAAUUCCUGAUGUUCAAGCUGGUUUUAGAAAAGGCAGAGGAACCAGAGAUCAAAUUGCCAACAUCCACUGGAUCAUGGCAAAAGCAAGAGAAUUCCAGAAAAACAUCUAUUUCUGCUUUAUUGAUUAUGCCAAAGCCUUUGACUGUGUGGAUCACAAUAAACUGUGGAAAAUUCUGAAAGAGAUGGGAAUACCAGACUACCUGACCUGCCUCUUGAGAAAUCUGUAUGCAGGUCAGAAAGCAACAGUUAGAACUGGACAUGGAACAACAGACUGGUUUCAAAUAGGAAAAGGAGUAUGUCAAGGCUGUAUAUUGUCACCCUUCGUAUUUAAUUUAUAUGCAGAGUACAUCAUGAGAAACGCUGGACUGGAAAAAACACAAGCUGGAAUCAAGAUUGCCAGGAGAAAUAUCAAUAAGCUCAAAUAUGCAGAUGACACCACCCUUAUGGCAGAAAGUGAAGAGGAGCUAAAAAGCCUCUUGAUGAAAGUGAAAGAGGAGAGUGAAAAAGUUGGCUUAAAGCUCAACAUUCAGAAAAUGAAGAUCAUGGCAUCCAGUCCCAUCACUUCAUGGGAAAUAGAUGGGGAAACAGUGAAAGCAGUGUCAGACUUUAUUUUUUUGGGCUCCAAAAUCACUGCAGAUGGUGACUGCAGCCAUGAUAUUAAAAGACGCUUACUCCUUGGAAGAAAAGUUAUGACCAACCUAGAUAACAUAUUCAAAAGCAGAGACAUUACUUUGCCGACUAAGGUCUGUCUAGCCAAGGCUAUGGUUUUUCCUGUGGUCAUAUAUGGAUGUGAGAGUUGGACUGUGAAGAAGGCUGAGCACCGAAGAAUUGAUGCUUUGGAACUGUGGUCUUGGAGAAGACUUGAUAGUCCCUUGGACUGCAAGGAGAUCCAACCAGUCCAUUCUGAAGGAGAUCAGUCCCGGGAUUUCUUUGGAAGGAAUGAUGCUGAAGCUGAAACUCCAGUACUUUGGCCACUUCAUGAGAAGAGUUGA
rnacentral:lncRNA from 1 species